rnacentral:rRNA from 1 species
CCUACGGGAGGCAGCAGUGGGGAAUUUUGGACAAUGGGCGCAAGCCUGAUCCAGCAAUGCCGCGUGCAGGAAGAAGGCCUUCGGGUUGUAAACUGCUUUUGUACGGAACGAAAAGGCUCUGGCUAAUACCUGGAGCUCAUGACGGUACCGUAAGAAUAAGCACCGGCUAACUACGUGCCAGCAGCCGCGGUAAUACGUAGGGUGCGAGCGUUAAUCGGAAUUACUGGGCGUAAAGCGUGCGCAGGCGGUGAUGUAAGACAGGCGUGAAAUCCCCGGGCUCAACCUGGGAAUUGCGCUUGUGACUGCAGCGCUGGAGUGCGGCAGAGGGGGAUGGAAUUCCGCGUGUAGCAGUGAAAUGCGUAGAUAUGCGGAGGAACACCGAUGGCGAAGGCAAUCCCCUGGGCCUGCACUGACGCUCAUGCACGAAAGCGUGGGGAGCAAACAGGAUUAGAUACCCGUGUAGUC